GCGACACUCCCAUGGGUGCCAUCUCAGCAGCUCACGGUGUGGAAACUGCGACACUCACACGGGUGCCAUCUCACAGCUCAGCUCACAGAGCUCCCCUCGGCCAUGUCCUCCACCUGCCCUUCCUUGGUCCAGCACCUCACCUGCACACACCUGUCUGGAGAGUCCCCAAGGUUGGAGAGCUGCUGAGUCAGCUGGGCCGAGCACACAGCGCAACACUUCCUUGUGCCUCCUAACCAGGAUGGGCGACACCAGCCCAUUUUAUGGAUGGGACAAGAAGAAGCUGGGCUGACAAGCCCAACAUAGUGGAGCCAGCAACAGGCUUUUACUCUCCUCUCUGUCUCUUUGUCUCUCUCCCCCACCGCACCUCCAUCCGCUCCAUUCUCCUCUCUGCACAUCAGCUUCCCAGACAAUAUUCUUGGUUUCUGUGGCUCCCAAACUGAAGCUUCCCCACAGUGGCUGCAACUAUCCAGACCUGGGGCCACACUUGGGCCUCCAGGCAGGGGAUCUAGUGAUCACAUUCUGGUCAUGUCAUCAGGCCAACUUGGCUGAGCUCUGCCCUCCUUAUCUCUCUUCUCCCCUCGAGCCCUCACCCUGGUUACCUGCACAA
rnacentral:lncRNA from 10 species